CUAUACUUCCACCAUUCACUUGUUUUGGGCCAAAUAUUUUGUAGUUUAACUUUUUAUUUGGUUUCUCUUUGUGGGCCGCUCCUAGUGCUAUAUUUGUACAGAAAAAGAUUCAAGUACAACAACAAAGGAGGUAACUAUAUUUUCAUCACUUCUUCUUAUUUCUAGCAUUUCUUUAUUUAAAUUAUUUAUUAGAUUAUGAUGUAUUUACGUUAUUAUUCUAUUUUAUUUGUGAAUUUAAAUUUUACCUAUAUUUAUUUCCUAGGUUACAAUUUUUAAAAAGUUUCUAAUUGUUUCUGUUUUGGUACAUAAAAAACUAUUUAGCAAUAUGAUAAAGAUAUUUUAAGCCAAUUUUUACAACAGCUAAAAUGAAGUCUUCCCUAUAGAAUAAUAGUAAGAGUGAAAUUCAUUAAUAAUUUGAUUUAUGUUUUCAAAAAUUAUGAUUGUUCAAAUAUUCAUAGUAAUCACAUUAAAAAGAGUGUGACAUAAUAUCUAGUAUAUCAAAAUAAAGUAAAAAAUUAAUUACUUUAAAAUCUUAAUUGAAAAUUUGUCAAUAUUGUAUAAAUGAACAUCUUUUAACAUUAUUAAAUUUACAACAAAGUGGAAGUGAUGAUGGACUAUAUUUCUUGUACUAGGUAAUAUCAUCUACUACAAGUUCUAUCUUGAUGCAUUGGCCAACCUAUGUAGUGGUGUUUUCAACUCAAGCGCAGUAAGGCAAAACGUGGAAGUAAUAUGUUGGUAAGUUUAAUUCUCUAUAAAUUUUCAGUUUAAUUCUCUCUAAAAUUAAGAGUAAUUACUAAUUUCAGUGCUUCAUGUUUUUAACAUUACCAACUUACUUUUUAUGGAAAAUCAUUGCUAAUUAAAUAUGAAUGAUAGAUGAUGCAGUGAAUGUGUAUAAAACCCAUUCACUAUUAGUUCUUCCAAUUUUUGAAAUUACCCUUAAGGUCUCAAAAGCACAAUUUAGAUACAGGAAGGGUUAAUGUGUCUUGAAUUUACAAACAGAAUGGUAACCGAGAAUUGCCAUGGGUACAACUAAGGAAAUUGAUAGAAAAGGCUCGAAAUGAUAUUCAUAAAAAGCUUGGUGAAUGGAAGACUUCUUCUUUACCAACGAAAUCACUAAAACGAAUGAAUACUAUUGUGGAAGACAAAGCCAAAAAUUAAGAAAGAGAAGAUGUGCCCAGAACAGAGGUGGCUGAUGCAAAGUAGAAAAAGGAAAGCAUUUAUGAUGUUUUGUUUUAUACAAGCUGAAACCGUCCUAAGGAAUGAAUAUGAGUCAGAUUUGAAUCUCUGAAAUUUUAUUUUAUAUUUUUAUUUAUUAAAGACAUUUAGUAAAUGAAUUUUUCUGUAUUUGUUGAGACUGAUUAUGAAGUUUGUUAUUUUUUAUGUACAUUGGUGGGGCUGCAUUAUUGGUUUUCCUUUUUGGAGUUUUCUUAAAGAGUAAUUUCAGUUGCAUGUGCAGUGUGAACUUGUCUUAAAAGAAAAUUAGUUAUUGCAGUUAUGUAUCUCACAAUCCAUAUUCGGCAACAUUUAAGUCUGUUCAAGUCGAAGGGUUUAUCUUUGUUUUUCUGUUUGUUAUGUAUCUAACAACCAAUAAUUGUUUGUUAAAAUUGCUUAAACAUUGUGACUUGUUUAGUGACGAAAAAUAGGAUGGGAAGAAAAUUUUGGGAGGGUCCCACAAAAUAUUUCCACCCCACUUUGGAUAGAAAAUGGUAAGAAGCCGAC
rnacentral:lncRNA from 1 species